AUGAGGUCCAAUAGCUCAACCGGGCUCUACCCGUUCUUCGGCUCCGCUGCUCCGUCGCCAACCAGCACGACCCUCUCCAUCACCAGCGACGUUUGGCAUCGGCGCCUUGGACAUCUCAGCCCGGAAGCUCUCUCUAGGCUAUGUGCACAUUUCAUUCCAGAUUGUAAUAAAUCCUCCCACCCCCAUUCUGUGUGUGAGGUGUGUUAG
rnacentral:rRNA from 1 species